rnacentral:lncRNA from 1 species
AAAGACCCAUUAACAAAUUGGUUUGCUCCUCAACGAGGUGAAGCACUAUGUUUAGUUAGGCUGCAGCUUCGUUUGAGAUUGCGGGGAGAUUGCGUUACAUGCGGUGAAAAAUGACGAUGGAAAAAUACCCUGUUUGUUUUCGUACGUAUUAUUGUGUUCCGCAUAUCGCGAUGAGUUGAUUACAAUAUAUUUUCGACAGUUCCACCGGAGAACGCAGAAAUAUAUCCCUAUAUAUUUUUUCUACAACUCCAUUUUAUCUAAUAGUGUUAAAUAGAACUCAAUAAAUCACUAUGUUUAAUUUUCCAAAAAUUAUU